ACGUACGACCAUAGGGUGCGGAAAACAGGGCUUCCCGUCCGCUCAGCCGUACUUAAGCCACACGCCGGCCGGUUAGUAGUUGGGUGGGUGACCACCAGCGAAUCCCGGCUGUUGUACGUU
rfam:Aspergillus fumigatus Af293 chromosome 6, whole genome shotgun sequence.